rnacentral:misc_RNA from 1 species
GUUGAGUUCUAUUGGUUAAGGAGGCCAGUGGUGUGAGUUCGGCGGCGGCGACAACGAUGGAGAUAAUUCCCAUUCCGACAGAAACGUACAAGCUGGGAUUCAUCGGAGCAGGGAAAAUGGCUGAGAGUAUAGUGAAAGGGGUGGUUCAAGCUGGCGUGUUGCCAUCUUCUCGCAUCCGAACAGCUCACUCCAAUCCCAAGCGCUGUGCUGCCUUCGAGUCGUUCGGCGUCAAAAUCCUCCCUCACAAUCAAGCUGUAGUUGAAGACAGCGACGUGGUCAUAUUCUCUGUAAAACCUCAAGUUGUUAAAGAUGUGGUUUUGCAGUUAAGGCCAGUUCUCACAAAGAAAAAGCUUCUGGUUUCAGUUGCUGCUGGAAUAAAAUUGAAAGACUUGCAGGAGUGGGCUGCUCACAGCCGGUUUAUCAGGGUGAUGCCAAAUACUGCUGCUUCUGUAGGAGAGGCAGCAACAGUAAUGAGCCUGGGUAGAGCUGCAACUGAAGAGGAUGGAGAAUUGAUUGCUAAAUUAUUUGGAUCAGUUGGUAAGGUAUGGAGAGCUGAUGAUAAAUAUUUUGAUGCAAUUACUGGUCUGAGUGGGAGCGGCCCAGCCUACAUAUAUUUAGCAAUUGAAGCAUUAGCUGAUGGAGGAG